CUCAUUUUUCCUUGUUCGGGGUUUGAGGUGCCACCUUACAAAAGGAUGGGUGUACGCUCUCUUUUCAGAGUAAGUAGUGUUAAUGGUUUUACCAGAUUUUUUUGGUUGUUGAGUAUAAGUUGUGUGUGUGCUACGGGGAUGAUAUGAAAACUGAACUCUCUCUUUCUGAUGGUUUAGUGGAGAAAACAAAAAUUCUCUGAGUAGCACAAUCUGUGGCAGGUAUUUGGAUUGUUUGGCAUAAAGUCUUUUAUUGAAGUUUGGGGUUUUUUUUUUCUGUUCUAGAUGUGGUUCAUCUCAAAGCCCUUUACACUUUGGAGCCAGGCCUGUUCAAUUUUACAAAUAACACGUUUUGCUUGUAGUCAGGUAGGUAUUGAUGGUUGGUGCUUCCUUAGGGAACAUAUUUAGAUGGCCACUUAAUGAUGAACAAUGUAAAUGACAAGCAUAUGGCUGAGUUGCAAUGAUGUCAUCUUACUACUGAAAUGGGCUGAAGAAAGAAGGUGCUGAGGUGGCUGUGAUUACAUUUAAAAAUGACAUUGUUUCUCUGUUUCCAGGGUGCUGUGACAACAUGAAGAGUUCGAGCUACCUCCCAGGAUGAGUGCAGGUAAUUGUCCAAGUAGAGCUUAGGGUUUCCCUAGGGAAAAUAGUCAAGACAGACAUUGAAGCAGCACAACACUUUUUUGCUGCUUACUAUUUGUAUUUCUAGAGGACACAUUAUGUUAAGGCCUUUGUUCUCUUAAAAACUCAACUGUCAGAUGAUUUGAAAUGAUGACACUGAACACUCCGUGAAGGUGUGAAUUUAUAGCAUGUUAGAGUUCUGAUGGCAGUUAGUGCUGACAGACAGAUUGUAAUUCUGUCCUGAUGGUUGAAAAUAACUACUUGUUACUCUUCCACAGGUUUUCCUGGUGACAAAUCUCAGGCAUUCAAAGGUUAGUUAGAUUAUUUUGGAUGGGGUUUGUUCACUAGGUUUGCUGUUUCUAUGAUGAAUCAAACUAGCUCACUAUGACUGCUAAUGAAAACACAGGAACACCUGAGAAACCAAAGGGUAGUGUGGGGGCAAGGGCCUUAUAUCCAGCCUUUUCAAGGUUUGUUAUUUUUCUCCAGGUUCUGUUAGCAGUGCCAUACUUGUGGGUUUACAGGUGAGUGAUUCCAGUGUGUGGUGUGGUGUAUGUGCAUAGCAUUGGACUGGGGUGGGGGGACCUAACUGAGAACGUACUUUGUGUAUAUAUGAUGACUUUCAUAGAAUCUCGUUCGGCUGAUGAUUGCUGUUGAGACUUGGAAAUCUGAUUUUUCUCAGAAUGAUGGGUUAGAUAGGAACAAGCUGUUGCAGGAUUUUUAACAUUGCUGAUGACUGUCUUGUUUUUCAGAGAUGGUGUGUCUGGCUGAGAACAAAGGAGCCGUACCAGGUAUAUGUCUUAGUAAUGCUUUUUGUAGUAUAAGGUUGAAUAUAUAAUACUUAGACCUAGUGAAUUCCUGCUCACCCUGAUGAACUGAAUACCGCCCCAGUCUGAUAGCUGUGGAGAAAGGUAUUUUCUGAGUUGUGAGCUCAUUUUGGAUCAAGUAGGAAAUUUUUUAUGCUAAUACUAGCAUAGUAUUAAUACUAGCAUAAGCUUUUGUAAAAGAAGCUUAAGCAUUAAUGGCCCAAAUUGUUUGCUAUUUUGUAGGAAAGUUGAAGCAUAUCUUCAUUUUCAAGUCCAGGCUAAAAUAAGGUGAGAAAACUUAGAUGAAAAGUAUGCUGAACUAUAAUUUCCCCAUGAAGAAAUGUUCACACGUCCUACUUCCUGUCCUAGCUCCAGAGCCUGAAAAGGUGAACCCACUGGGGCUGGCUGGGGGAAAAGAGGAAACUUUGUUCCAGAAGGAACUGUCUGAGGGAUCAUUUUUGUGCGUAGAAAGGGAAGAAUUCUCACUUGAUUAAAGAGGAAUCAAAAGGUGAUUUACUUGUUUUACAGGUCUGAGGAAAAGAAUGAGCUGCGUGUGAAGGAUAGGAACAGAAAUCAUGAAAGAUCUGUUUGUCCAGGCCAGUGUUUCACCAUAAGAGAUCACUUUAAAAUAAAUGAUGAAAUAAUUCUUUGCAAUUGCAAAUUUACCUUCCUUGCUUACCACAUUGUUAACUGUAGGAGCUGAUACCUGGUUCUUCCACUGUUAACUUGUACUCUGUGUUUGUUCUAGCAAUAAAUGCUCUUUAUGCUA
rnacentral:lncRNA from 1 species